UACGUAGGGGGCAAGCGUUGUCCGGAUUUAUUGGGCGUAAAGAGCGUGUAGGCGGUUAGGUAGGUCCGUUGUGAAAACUCGAGCUCAACCUCGAGACGCCGAUGGAAACCCCCUAACUAGAGUCCGGAAGAGGAGAGUGGAAUUCCUGGUGUAGCGGUGAAAUGCGCAGAUAUCAGGAAGAACACCAGUGGCGAAGGCGGCUCACUGGCCCGGUACUGACGCUGAGGUGCGAAAGCGUGGGGAGCGAACAGG
rnacentral:rRNA from 1 species